UGAGGAAUCUUCCACAAUGGGCGAAAGCCUGAUGGAGCAACGCCGCGUGCAGGAUGAAGGCCUUCGGGUUGUAAACUGCUUUUAUGAGUGAAGAAUAUGACGGUAACUCAUGAAUAGCACCGGCUAACUACGUGCCAGCAGCCGCGGUCAUACGUAGGGUGCAAGCAUUAUCCGGCGUGACUGGGCGUAAAGAGUUGCGUAGGUGGUUUAUUAAGUGAAUAGUGAAAGCUGGAGGCUCAACCUUACAGACUAUUAUUCAAACUGAUAAACUCGAGAGUAGUAGAGGUAACUGGAAUUUCUUGUGUAGGAGUGGAAUCCGUAGAUAUAAGAAGGAACACCAAUGGCGUAGGCAGGUUACUGGACUAUCUCUGACACUGAGGCACGAAAGCGUGGGGAGCGAACCGGA
rnacentral:rRNA from 1 species